AAGCAAUAAAGCUUUUGCCGCGGAAGAUUCUGAGCAUCUGGAGUGAGCAAGAAGUGCAAAGAGGGGAAGAAGAAAGGUCCACAAUGAGGAGGUAUGGAAUGAAUUAUACUAUCAAGGAGCUAGAAGGUACAUACAUGUGCAAAGAUGUGGAAUACAGAAAGAAGAUAACCUCUGGUGCUAUCUUCAGAAAGGCCAUCGACCUCCUUUAAGACAGAAUCUUUCAUUGCUCUGAAGUUGCUAACUAGAUAUGGUUGACUUGCCAGUGAACCCCAGGGAUCUAUUUGUUGGGCAUUCCCAGUGCUGGAAUUACAAGAACAGGCUCUUAUGCCUAGUAUUAUUACAUAAGUUCUAAAUAGUGAAUUCAGGUCCAAAUGUUUGUGAAUCAACCAUUUUAUCAACUGUGCUAUAUCCUCAGUCUCUUAACUUUUACAG